AUUGAACGCUGGCGGCAUGCCUUACACAUGCAAGUCGAACGGUAACAGGUUAAGCCGACGAGUGGCGAACGGGUGAGUAAUGUAUCGGAACGUGCCCAGUCGUGGGGGAUAACGUAGCGAAAGCUACGCUAAUACCGCAUACGAUCUAUGGAUGAAAGCGGGGGAUCGCAAGACCUCGCGCGAUUGGAGCGGCCGAUAUCAGAUUAGGUAGUUGGUGGGGUAAGGCCCACCAAGCCGACGAUCUGUAGCUGGUCUGAGAGGACGACCAGCCACACUGGGACUGAGACACGGCCCAGACUCCUACGGGAGGCAGCAGUGGGGAAUUUUGGACAAUGGGCGCAAGCCUGAUCCAGCAAUGCCGCGUGCAGGAUGAAGGCCUUCGGGUUGUAAACUGCUUUGUACGGAAGAUAAUGACUGUACCGGAAGAAUAAGCCCCGGCUAACUUCGUGCCAGCAGCCGCGGUAAU
rnacentral:rRNA from 1 species